AGAGUUUGAUCCUGGCUCAGGAUGAACGCUGGCGGCGUGCCUAAUACAUGCAAGUCGAACGAAUCUUCUUCGGAAGAUGAGUGGCGAACGGGUGAGUAAUACAUAGGUAACCUGCCCCUGUGCGGGGGAUAACAGGAGGAAACUCCUGCUAAUACCGCAUAGCCAUGAGCACCGCAUGGAGCUCAUGCCAAAUAUCCUUUCGGGGAUAGCGCAGGGAUGGACCUAUGGCGCAUUAGCUGGUUGGCGGGGCAACGGCCCACCAAGGCAACGAUGCGUAGCCGGCCUGAGAGGGCGGACGGCCACAUUGGGACUGAGACACGGCCCAGACUCCUACGGGAGGCAGCAGUAGGGAAUUUUCGGCAAUGGGGGAAACCCUGACCGAGCAACGCCGCGUGAGCGAAGAAGGCCUUCGGGUCGUAAAGCUCUGUUGUAAAGGAAGAACGGCGCAUACAGGAAAUGGUAUGCGAGUGACGGUACUUUACCAGAAAGCCACGGCUAACUACGUGCCAGCAGCCGCGGUAAUACGUAGGUGGCGAGCGUUAUCCGGAAUCAUUGGGCGUAAAGAGGGAGCAGGCGGCCGCAAGGGUCUGUGGUGAAAGACCGAAGCUAAACUUCGGUAAGCCAUGGAAACCGGGCGGCUAGAGUGCGGAAGAGGAUCGUGGAAUUCCAUGUGUAGCGGUGAAAUGCGUAGAUAUAUGGAGGAACACCAGUGGCGAAGGCGACGGUCUGGGCCGCAACUGACGCUCAUUCCCGAAAGCGUGGGGAGCAAAUAGGAUUAGAUACCCUAGUAGUCCACGCCGUAAACGAUGAG
rnacentral:rRNA from 1 species